GCCCUUAUAGUAUAACCCAAUUACUCUGGUCUUGUAAACCAGAAAUGAGACAUUUUCUCUAAGGACA
rnacentral:tRNA from 1 species